UUUCUCUGUUAAGAAUGCAAAAUAAUAAAUUUUCUUGAUACAAGAAAAUAAUAAAAAAAAAGAUAAUGUAAAGGCUAAAGAUAUUGUAUUCUGACUUUAGCAGACCAGAAACUGUAUUUCAGUUGAGGAAGUCAUAAGGUAAUUCUUGAUUUCUCCUUGUUCCAGGCAGGAGAAUAAUAUGCGUUGCAACUUUACCUACCAAAGGUUUCUUCCCCAGUUUUUCUAGUGUCUGAGCUGUCUGGGGCACCCACAGAAGAGUCUUAACAAAGCAAAACUGCCUUUGUUCUUUGUCUGCAAAAGAAGAGCUUAUGUGCUGUAUUUUCAAAAAUAAGUAUAUAAAGAAGCAGCAUCACUUCUUACAAAGGUGUUUAUGUCUUUAUACAGAAUAUUUUCAAAACACUGUCAGUUGGUUGGUGCUGUAUAUGUACUUCUACAAACAUGAAUAAAUGUUAACAUGACCCAGUGAAUUCUGCGCAAUACUAUUUAUAACCUGAAAAUGUGGAAAAUAUUAGUGUUUUUCUGAUUGAUUUAUCAGGAGUAUUGUUAUUGUUCUUUUCAGAAAAUGGGAGCAUUUGCAUAUCUAUGGAAAAGUGUCACAAGCCAAGAAAAUAAGUCUUAGAAAAAGAACAGAGAGCAAUGCUGCAUCACCUCCUUAGCAGUUCCAGAUUACCCAGAGCUAAGAGGAGAAAAAGUUAUUAUCAGACAAAAGAAUUCUUCACUGAGAACGACAUGAAUAACCAUUUCUUUGAAGUGUUUCCUGCAAAUACUCCUCUGCCAGAAGUCAUGAAGUGAUAACACUCCCACACUUCUUACUAGCCUUUAUGGGAAACCAGUUAUAGUGAUCUGGACGACGUCCAGGAAAAAAGCCAGCAAUAAAGUACUGUGGAUGGCCA
rnacentral:lncRNA from 1 species